GCUCAUGACCACCGUUAGUCCCCUCACCGCCUCAGACCCGCCAACUGCCCUGUACACGAGGCCCUAUAAGACAUCGACCCACCCGCCGUCACUCGAGACACGCCGUUACCCGGGUACAGGUCCUGUCGCCAGCCAGCAGAGAGCUCUUGGCUUCCUCGUACAACGAGCCCCGCGCCACCCGCCAUCCACCCGCCAUCCACCCGCCUUGCACGAGUCCCGGGUGCAGGAAACUUUUCGUCUUCGUGCGUGAUCUCUUUCCUUCUUUUUUCCUUUGGUGUUUGGGCGAGCGUGACUGAUAAUUGUGUGGACCACCAACUCGUGACUUUGGAAAUGGACUCCAGGAAGCAGCCAUCGUCCCUCGUGCCUUCAUGGGUCAAGAAAUUCGACGAUUACAAUGGCAAAGAGUUUGCUUUCCCUCGCUCCACUGGUUCCAACGAUUACUUCAAGCUUAAGUCGAACUCGUCUGCCCCUCUUGAGCCGUUGGAUUUCGAUAACCCGACCUUUGAACCAGAAGACUUGCGCAGAGUUAAUCCUCUUUACACUAACGGCUUUGACGAGUUGGGCAAGAAAAACACGGCAAACGAUAUUCCCUACCACUUCUACCACUCCAUCGAUGAAAGGAGGGAGGAGCCGCCGAGAACAGCCAAAGAGUUUCCACGGGGCAAGAGCCGCCCGUAUGAACUCGAGGACGAACCCAAGCCGUCAUCUAACACCGUCGUCGCUGCAUCAUCAUUAUUGUCGUUAUUCUAGUCAUUGCUGCCAUUGCUGGUGCAGUAGCUGCGGCACUCGUCUUAACAGUGUUCAAAAAUGAAGACUCGUCGAAAGAAAGUACACCAGGGGCAUCGGCAGCCUUUCUGACAACGGCCAACAUGAGCGUCCAUGUCACGUCUUGGGAGUAUGAGGAGGACAUGAGUAAUUCAUCAUCUGAAAUAUUCAAUAACUUUACAACGACUUUCUGC